AUGCCGCAACAAGCUCCCAAGGAAGGAGCUGACAGAGUGACAGCUGAAAUGUGAAAUGUGGGAAAUCGAAAGAAUUCGAAAAGUGAAAUCAAUAUUCAGCAUAAGUUACCAUGUUUGAAACUGAAAAACUAACUUGACUUGGUAGUAUGUUAACUAAAUGUUUCAUGCAUAUUUACCAGUCCAUUUGUCAUCAUUUGCCACGUAAUGACGACCAUUGUUGAAGCUGGCCAGGAAUUCUAAUAAGCUGUCAUCAAUCCUGCAGCUGUAGUGUGCCUAUACUAAAAAUGGAAUAAAAAUUGUAAUAUCACAGCUAUCUUACUAAUUUUCUGUUCUUGUCUUUCAGAUAAAUGUUUUGUAAAUAGUGAAUCUCAAAUCCAAGAACUUUGAGUCGUUAUUUCACUCAAUUGACUUUCUUUUUUCCGAUUUUAAUAAUGGUGAUAAAUUGCAAGUACUUACCUGAGCAGCUGAGCUCUUCCUUUAGAACUGUGGUUCCUUUCAAUUGAUUCAUUUGAGUUUAAUCCCUCGCCUCUGUUCCAGACCUUAUCCACUAGUAGAAUAUGCCGAGAGAUGUUGAACUUAUUCUAGAUUAACCCUUCGCCCUUGUGCUACAAUUUGAAGAUAUUGACGGUAACAGAAGAGCUUGCUUUCUAUCAAUAUCAAUAAAUUAGGUAGAUGUAGAUAACUUACAAGUGCAUAUCUGGGCUCCUUUCUUUUCUGUGGCCCC